rnacentral:rRNA from 1 species
GACAGAGGUGCCAAGCGUUAGGCGGAAUCACUGGGCUUAAAGCGUGUGUAGGCGGGUCGUUAAGUGUCUUGUGAAAUCCCCCGGCUCAACCGGGGAAUGGCUGGGCAUACUGGCGAUCUUGAGCAGUUCAGGGGCAGAUGGAACAAGUGGUGGAGCGGUGAAAUGCGUAGAUAUCACUUGGAACGCCAAAGGUGAAAACAGUCUGCUGGGAAGUUGCUGACGCUGAGACACGAAAGCCAGGGGAGCGAACGGG